rnacentral:rRNA from 1 species
CUUCUUUGCUGGCGACCGGCGCACGGGUGAGUAACACGUAUCCAACCUGCCCUUUACUCGGGGAUAGCCUUUCGAAAGAAAGAUUAAUACCCGAUAGUAUAAUGAUUCCGCAUGGUUUCAUUAUUAAAGGAUUCCGGUAAAGGAUGGGGAUGCGUUCCAUUAGGUUGUUGGUGAGGUAACGGCUCACCAAGCCCUCGAUGGAUAGGGGUUCUGAGAGGAAGGUCCCCCACAUUGGAACUGAGACACGGUCCAA